rnacentral:rRNA from 1 species
UACGGAGGGUGCGAGCGUUGUCCGGAAUCAUUGGGCGUAAAGGGCGCGUAGGUGGCCCGGUCAGUCUUUGGUGAAAGCGCGGGGCUCAACCCUGCGUCGGCCAGGGAUACUGCCGCGGCUCGAGCACUGUAGAGGCAGGCGGAAUUCCGGGUGUAGCGGUGGAAUGCGUAGAGAUCCGGAAGAACACCGGUGGCGAAGGCGGCGCUCUGGGCCGGUACUGACACUGAGGAGCGAAAGCGUGGGUAGCAAACAGG